rnacentral:rRNA from 1 species
AGACUAAGCCAUGCAUGUCUAAGUAUAAACGCUUCUAUACUGUGAAACUGCGAAUGGCUCAUUAAAUCAGUUAUAGUUUAUUUGAUGGUUCCUACUACAUGGAUAACCGUGGUAAUUCUAGAGCUAAUACAUGCAGAAAGUCCCGACUUCUGGAAGGGAUGUAUUUAUUAGAUCCAAAACCGGCGCGGGUCCUUCUGGGCCCGGUUGCUUGGUGAUUCAUGAUAACUGCUCGAACCGUAUGGCCUUAGCGCCGACGGUGCUUCAUUCAAAUUUCUGCCCUAUCAACUUUCGAUGGUACGGUAGUGGCCUACCAUGGUUGCAACGGGUGACGGAGAAUUAGGGUUCGAUUCCGGAGAGGGAGCCUGAGAAACGGCUACCACAUCCAAGGAAGGCAGCAGGCGCGCAAAUUACCCAAUCCCGACUCGGGGAGGUAGUGACAAUAAAUAACAAUGCCGGGCUUUCUUAGUCUGGCAAUUGGAAUGAGUACAAUCUAAACCCCUUAACGAGGAACAAUUGGAGGGCAAGUCUGGUGCCAGCAGCCGCGGUAAUUCCAGCUCCAAUAGCGUAUAUUAAAGUUGUUGCAGUUAAAAAGCUCGUAGUUGGAUUUCGGGGCAGCCUGGCUGGUCCGCCGCAAGGCGAGUACUGGUCAGCCGCCCUUCCUCUCGAAAGCCCCGACUGCUCUUUAUUGUAGUGGUCGGGUAGUUCGGGACGUUUACUUUGAAAAAAUUAGAGUGUUCAAGGCAGGCCUACGCCUGAAUACAUUAGCAUGGAAUAAUGGAAGAGGACCUCGGUCCUAUUUUGUUGGUUUCUAGGGCCGAAGUAAUGAUUAAGAGGGACAGUUGGGGGCAUUCGUAUUUAAUUGUCAGAGGUGAAAUUCUCGGAUUUAUGAAAGACGAACAACUGCGAAAGCAUUUGCCAAGGAUGUUUUCAUUAAUCAAGAACGAAAGUUAGGGGUUCGA